AGCUCCUGAAACUUUCUCCGCGUUCGCUUCAAUGCUGCAAAGCUUUGGAGGUGAAGCAACAUUACGGGUAACUGACUUUUUCGCCGUCAUAGACGAAAUCGGGGAAUUAGCGGCAUGGUCCGAUAGACAGAAGUUAGGGAUUGCUAAAUGCAAAUUAACAGGCAUAGCACGGGAGUACGCUUGGCACGACUUUGCGAUUAAAAAUAUAACAAAUUAUCAGCAGUUCAAGAGUUUAAUGAUAAAGUGAUUCAUAGGAGACCCUUAUACAAUUAGGUUGCAGAAAUUUCAUAAUUGCGUACAAAGGAGAGGAGAUGUUCAAACAUUUGGGGUAAGGCUGCAAAGUUUAGCCGCAGAAACAACGAUAGAUGUGGAAAGCACAUCAGAACAAGAGAAAACAGUAAUCGAGCAAUGUCAGAAUAAAGAAUUGAAUGAAAGGCUGCGCGUACAAUUCUUGAACGGAAUUAAUGACCAGAUUAAGCGUGCUGUCAUGUCUCAUG
rnacentral:lncRNA from 1 species